CCCUGGUCCGGGUACAUGCGGGAGGCAACCAAUUUAUGAGAGAUAGAUAUUUUUCUCUCGUUUCUCCCUCUUUGUUCCACUACCUCUAAAAAUCGAUGUAAAAAUAUCCUCAGGUGAGGAUUAACAAAAGAAAAAAAGAUUCAGUGUCAAAAUCAAUGAGCAAAUAUUGAAGAUGAAGCUAUGGGCAUGAGGACUAAUAUUGACCCCUGCCACCACCUGCUGCUGUUAGGGUUUCCCGAGGCUACGUCAGCUGAGGUCUGAAACCCGACUACUCCAGCUUCCCACAAUGGGGCUAGAGCCCACUUUGGUGGUUGUAGCUAGGAGCCAGUUCAAGAAACUUUCAAACUCAAACCAGGCCGCUUUCAUCAGAACGACAGCCAGUGGGUCCGGGUGGUGGUGGUGGGGAAGUUACUCAGCCCCAAGAAGCAGCUUCACUCCUUAGGCAUCUCUGCCCUACCUCUUCCAACCUCCAGGGGGCAUUAAGUGCUCUGUUUCGGAAGAGCAAUAGGGCAGCGCGUCACGACCAGAGACCAGGAAAAGUGAGGCUGUUCUCUAUGAUAAGAGCCUCCGGGGAUGGCACACUCAGGGGUUCUUCUCUUCCCUUCCCAUCCUGUGCUGACCUACUUAGCAGGCACCUAAUCCACGGCCCCCCGGAGGUGUCUAAGACAUCCAGGCAAGAGAAGACGCAGAUGAAUCAAAAGCAGGGUUUAUUUUCCUACCAAACCCCCAAUCCAUGUUCCAGCCAAUGGAUGCAGGGUUAAUCAAGCCCCACAUAGACUCUUAGUAAAAACAAUUAUAAAUUUCUACAAGAAAAAGGUUUUUAAGUUCCUAGGCAUUGAGGAACAGAUGAAAAAAAAAUCACAUAUUGAAUGGUCUGCGCUUUCUUUUAUGUAUUCACACGUUCCCUCCCUGCUGCCUCUUCUGCGAUGAGGUCCUGAUGACAGCUGUGCAGCUGCACUGACAGUCCUCCUCACGCCCCUCUCUGGUUCUCUAACCUCGUAUCCUGGUGUGCUUUCAGCUUAUAAUCUCCAAGCACAGCUGGCAAGAUCUGAAUGAAAGUCUUCAAACCUCGAGUGCCUCCUAUUUGCUGGGCACAGAGUGGGUACUGGGCAGUGAUUCGCUGGUUCAGGGAACGGAAAUGGGGCCACAGAGGCGAGGUUUCCUCCCAAGCAGCAGGCGGGUGUUUGCUGGGGAU